GUAAUAUAUAGUUAACGUGCCUCUUAGCCUGGGAUAGCCACUGGAAACGGUGAUUAAUACUGGAUACUCCUUCUAACUUAAUGUUAGUCGGGAAAGGUUUUUCGCUAAGAGAUCGGACUAUAUUGUAUCAGCUAGUUGGGGAGGUAAUGGCUCACCAAGGCAAUGGCACAUAGUGGGUUUGAGAGGAUGAUCCGCCACACUGGUACUGAGACACGGACCAGACUCCUACGGGAGGCAGCAGUGAGGAAUAUUGCACAAUGGGGGAAACCCUGAUGCAGCAACGCCGCGUGGAGGAUGACGCAUUUCGGUGUGUAAACUCCUUUUAUAAGAGAAGAAAAUGACGGUAUCUUAUGAAUAAGCACCGGCUAACUCCGUGCCAGCAGCCGCGGUAAUACGGAGGGUGCAAGCGUUACUCGGAAUCACUGGGCGUAAAGGACGCGUAGGCGGGAUGUCAAGUCAGGUGUGAAAUCCUAUGGCUCAACCAUAGAACUGCAUUUGAAACUGGCAACCUAGAGUAUGGGAGGGGGAGAUGGAAUUAGUGGUGUAGGGGGUAAAAUCCGUAGAUAUCACUAGGAAUACCUAAAGCGAAGGCGAUCUCCUGGAACAUAACUGACGCUAAGGCGUGAAAGCGUGGGGAGCAAACAGGAUUAGAUACCCUGGUAGUCCACGCCCUAAACGAUGAACACUAGUCGUCGUGAUGCUUGUCAUUGCGGUGAUGCACUUAACAGAUUAAGUGUUCCGCCUGGGGAGUACGGUCGCAAGAUUAAAACUCAAAGGAAUAGACGGGGACCCGCACAAGUGGUGGAGCAUGUGGUUUAAUUCGAAGAUACGCGAAGAACCUUACCUAGCCUUGACAUUGAUUGAAUCUUUCAGAGAUGAGAGAGUGCCUUUCGGGGAACAUGAAAACAGGUGCUGCACGGCUGUCGUCAGCUCGUGUCGUGAGAUGUUGGGUUAAGUCCCGCAACGAGCGC
rnacentral:rRNA from 1 species